rnacentral:rRNA from 1 species
UACGGGGGGAGCAAGCGUUGUUCGGAUUUACUGGGCGUAAAGGGCGCGUAGGCGGCCAGCACAAGACAGAUGUGAAAUCCCCGGGCUUAACCUGGGAACUGCAUUUGUGACUGCAUGGCUGGAGUGCGGCAGAGGGGGAUGGAAUUCCGCGUGUAGCAGUGAAAUGCGUAGAUAUGCGGAGGAACACCGAUGGCGAAGGCAAUCCCCUGGGCCUGCACUGACGCUCAUGCACGAAAGCGUGGGGAGCAAACAGG